rnacentral:rRNA from 1 species
UACAGAGGUCCCAAGCGUUGUUCGGAUUCAUUGGGCGUAAAGGGUGCGUAGGCGGCGCGGUAAGUCGGGUGUGAAAUCUCGGAGCUUAACUCCGAAACUGCAUUCGAUACUGCCGUGCUUGAGGACUGGAGAGAAGACUGGAAUUUACGGUGUAGCGGUGAAAUGCGUAGAUAUCGUAAGGAAGACCAGUGGCGAAGGCGGGUCUCUGGACAGUUCCUGACGCUGAGGCACGAAGGCCAGGGGAGCAAACGGG